GCCACGGUGGUCUAGUGGUUAGAAUGCUGGCCUUGUAAUCCUGGGGUCUCGGGUCCGAUUCCCGGCGGUGCCC
rfam:Zootermopsis nevadensis contig1937, whole genome shotgun sequence.